rnacentral:rRNA from 1 species
CCGCAGGCCGUAAACCCAAGGUUUCCAGGGGAAGGUUCGUCCGCCCUGGGUUAGUCAGGACCUAAGCCGAGGCCGAAAGGCGUAGGUGAUGGACAACAGGUUGAUAUUCCUGUACCACCAAUAACCGUUUGAGAAAUGGGAUGACACAGUAGGAUAAGCUAACCGCACUGUUGGUUAUGUGCGGGCAAGUAUUGAGGCAGUUCCGAUAGGCAAAUCCGUCGGAAUAAUGCUGGGGUACGAUGCGGAGCGAAAUUUAGUAGCGAAGUAGCUGAUUUCACACUGUCGAGAAAAGUCUCUAUCGAGGUUAAAGGUGCCUGUACCGCAAACCGACACAGGUGGGUGAGGAGAGUAUCCUAAGGCCAGCCAGAGAACUGUUGUUAAGGAACUCGGCAAAAUGACCCCGUAACUUAGGGAGAAGGGGUGCCUUCGAAAGAAGGCCGCAGAGAAUAGGCCCAAGCGACUGUUUACCAAAAACAUAGGUUUCUGCUAAGUCGCAAGACGAUGUAUAGGAGCUGACGCCUGCCCGGUGCUGGAAGGUUAAGGGGAUCUGUUAGGAUAACCGAAGCAGUGAACUUAAGCCCCAGUAAACGGCGGCCGUAACUAUAACGGUCCUAAGGUAGCGAAAUUCCUUGUCGGGUAAGUUCCGACCCGCACGAAAGGCGUAACGAUUUGGGCACUGUCUCAACAACAGACUGGGUGAAAUUGUAAUACCGGUGAAGAUGCCGGUUACCUGCGACAGGACGGAAAGACCCCAUGGAGCUUUACUGUAGCUUGACAUUGAGUCUCGGUGCUACAUGUACAGGAUAGGUGGGAGGCUAUGAAGCAUGGACGUCAGUCUGUGUGGAGCCAUCCUUGGGAUACCACCCUUGUAGUACUGGGAUUCUAACCAGCUGCCUUGAAUCAGGUAGUGGGACACUGUCAGGUGGACAGUUUGACUGGGGCGGUCGCCUCCUAAAGAGUAACGGAGGCGCUCAAAGGUUCUCUCAGUACGGUCGGAAAUCGUACGUAGAGUGUAAAGGCAGAAGAGAGCUUGAUUGCAAGACAUACAGGUCGAGCAAGGACGAAAGUCGGACUUAGUGAUCCGGUGGUACCGCAUGGAAGGGCCAUCGCUCAACGGAUAAAAGCUACCCUGGGGAUAACAGGCUGAUCUCCCCCAAGAGUCCACAUCGACGGGGAGGUUUGGCACCUCGAUGUCGGCUCAUCACAUCCUGGGGCUGUAGUAGGUCCCAAGGGUUGGGCUGUUCGCCCAUUAAAGUGGUACGCGAGCUGGGUUCAGAACGUCGUGAGACAGUUCGGUCCCUAUCCGUCGCAGGCGUAGGAAAUUUGAGGAGACCUGUCCUUAGUACGAGAGGACCGGGAUGGACGUACCGCUGGUGUACCAGUUGUUCUGCCAAGGGCAUGGCUGGGUAGCUAAGUACGGAAAGGAUAAGCGCUGAAAGCAUCUAAGCGCGAAGCCUACUUCAAGAUAAGAUUUCCCACCGUAAGGUUAAGACCCCAUGAAGACUACAUGGUUGAUAGGUCAGAGGUGUAAGUGCAGUAAUGUAUUUAGCUUACUGAUACUAAUAGGUCGAGGACUUGACC